GAUGAACGCUGGCGGCGUGCUUUAACACAUGCAAGUCGAACGGAGGACCCUUGACGGAGUUUUCGGACAACGGAUAGGAAUCCUUAGUGGCGGACGGGUGAGUAACGCGUGAGGAACCUGCCUUGGAGAGGGGAAUAACACAGAGAAAUUUGUGCUAAUACCGCAUGAUGCAGUUGGGUCGCAUGGCUCUGACUGCCAAAGAUUUAUCGCUCUGAGAUGGCCUCGCGUCUGAUUAGCUAGUUGGCAGGGUAACGGCCUACCAAGGCGACGAUCAGUAGCCGGACUGAGAGGUUGACCGGCCACAUUGGGACUGAGACACGGCCCAGACUCCUACGGGAGGCAGCAGUGGGGAAUAUUGGGCAAUGGCGCAAGCCUGACCCAGCAACGCCGCGUGAAGGAGAAGGCUUUCGGGUUGUAAACUUCUUUUAUGAGGGACGAAGGAAGUGACGGUACCUCAUGAAUAAAGCUCCGGCUAACUACGUGCCAGCCGCCGCGGUA
rnacentral:rRNA from 1 species